rnacentral:rRNA from 1 species
AACCUGGUUGAUCCUGCCAGUAGUCAUAUGCUUGUCUCAAAGAUUAACCCAUGCAUGUGUAAGUAUAGUUAAAUACAGAGAAAAUGCGAAUGGCUCCUUAAAACAGUUAUAAUUUAUUUGAUGGAUAAAGGAUAUGGAUAACCGUAGUAAUUAUAGAGCUAAUACAUGCUUGAAAGCCUGACUCACGAAGGGCUGCAUUUAUUAGAUAAAGCCAGCAUUUAGGUGAUUCAUAAUAAACUUAGCGGAUCGCGACUUUUGUCGCGACAUGUCAUUCAAGUAUCUGACCUAUCAGCUUUGAUGGUAGUGUAUUGGACUACCAUGGCGUUAACAGGUAACGGGGAAUUAGGGUUCGAUUCCGGAGAAAGAGCCUGAGAAACGGCUAUUACAUCUAUGGAGGGCAGCAGGGGCGUAAAUUACCCAAUCUUGACUUAAGGAGGUAGUGACAAGAAAUAUCGAACUAGCGACAAGCUAGGAUUGGAAUGGACCAAAUCUAAUACCCUUGGCGAGUAACAAUUGGAGGGCAAGUCUGGUGCCAGCAGCCGCGGUAAUUCCAGCUCCAAUAGCAUAUAUUAAAGUUGUUGCAGUUAAAAAGCUCGUAGUUGGAUAUCUGGAGUAGCCGGGAGGUUUUACGCCUCUUAGGCCAUAUUCAUCCUUCUGUUAACACGUGUUGGUAUUCGUACUGGACGUGGGCUCAGAUAUUUUACCUUGAGAAAACUAGAGUGUUUCAGGCAGGCUUGGCCGGAAUACAAAAGCAUGGAAUAAUAGAAUUUGGCACGACUCUGUGGUUGGCCAGGGAAGUGUAAUGAUUAAUAGGAACAGUUGGGGGCAUUAGUAUUUAAUUGUCAGAGGUGAAAUUCUCGGAUUUGUUAAAGACUAACUAAAGCGAAAGCAUUUGCCAAGGAUGUUUUCAUUAAUCAAGAACGAAAGUUAGGGGAUCAAAGACGAUCAGAUACCGUCGUAGUCUUAACCAUAAACGAUGCCGACUAGAGAUUGGAGGAGCGCAAUGCUCCUUCAGCAUCUAAGGAGAAAUCAAAGUCUUUGGGUUCUGGGGGGAGUAUGGUCGCAAGGCUGAAACUUGAAGGAAUUGACGGAAGGGCACCACCAGGAGUGGAGCCUGCGGCUUAAUCUGACUCAACACGGAGAAAUUUACCAGGUCCAGACAUUAGAAGGAUUGACAGAUUGAUAGCUCUUUCUUGAUUUUAUGGGUGGUGGUGCAUGGCCGUUCUUAGUUGGUGGAGUGAUUUGUCUGGUUAAUUCCGAUAACGAACGAGACCUUAACCUACUAACUAGACUGCGGAGUUACUCUCUGCGGGACUUCUUAGAGGGACUGUCUGGCUUAACCUCAAGGAAGUUUAAGGCAAUAACAGGUCUGUGAUGCCCUUAGAUGUCCUGGGCUGCACGCGUGCUACACUGAUGCAUACAAUAAGUUCCUGGAUCGAAAGAUCUGUGGCAAUCUCCAAUGUGCAUCGUGAUUGGGAUAGAUCUUUGUAAUUAUGGAUCUUUAACGAGGAAUUCCUAGUAAGCGUAAGUCAUCAGCUUACGCUGAUUAAGUCCCUGCCCUUUGUACACACCGCCCGUCGCUCCUACCGAUUCCGAGUGAUUCGGUGAGCCUUUUGGACCUGCCACAAGCAGGAAAAUUAUGCGAACCAAAUCACUUAGAGGAAGGAGAAGUCGUAACAAGGUUUCCGUAGGUGAACCUGCGGAAGGAUCA